rnacentral:piRNA from 1 species
UUCAUGCGGUAUUAACAGUUU